GUCCUCAAGGCCAGGGAUCUCAGGCUCAAUAAAAAAAACUGACCAUUUCACAUCUGUUGAUAUUUUCCAAUUGUCUCAAGUAUUAGCAUCUCACCUUUCACCACAGUUCUCAAACUUCUUGGUCACAGGGUUUUCAGAGGGCUUUCACACAGGUAUUGUAGCAUUACCAUUCGGUAUUACUGAAAGUAAAAAUGUACUAUCUGCUGUCAACGACCCAAGUACAGCUGAUUCACUGUUAACACAGGAACUGAAUCAAGGGUUUGUCAUAGGCCCCUUUUCCACACCCUCAUUCUCUAGUUGGCGUACAAACUUGAUCGGUAUUGUAACGGGGAAACACUCUUCAAAGAAGAGACAGAUCGUAGAUCUUUUUGCACCUUACUCCUCCACCAUUCCCAGUUUAAAUUCAUUAAUCCCUUCGGAAGAAUUCUCAUUGCAGUACACCACGAUAGAUGAAGCAGUACAAACCAUCAUAGUGGCAGUGAUAGGAGCAUGGUUAAUCAACACAGAUAUUGUUAACGCCUUUAAACUGCUCCCUAUUUACCUGUCGCUGUGGCAUCUGCAUGGUAUUAAAUGGAGAAACC